GAUGAACGCUGGCGGCGUGCCUAAUACAUGCAAGUCGAGCGAAUGGAUUAAGAGCUUGCUCUUAUGAAGUUAGCGGCGGACGGGUGAGUAACACGUGGGUAACCUGCUCAUAAGACUGGGAUAAAUCCGGGAAACCGGGGCUAAUACCGGAUAACAUUUUGAACCGCAUGGGUCGAAGUUGAAAGGCGGCUUCGGCUGUCACCUAUGGAUGGAACCGCGUCGCAUUAGCUAGUUGGUGAGGUAACGGCUCACCAAGGCAACGAUGCGUAGCCGACCUGAGAGGGUGAUCGGCCACACUGGGACUGAGACACGACCCAGACUCCUACAGGAGGCAGCAGUAGGGAAUCUUCCGCGAUGGACGAAAGUCUGACGGAGCAACGCCGCGUGAGUGAUGAAGGCUUUCGGGUCGUAAAACUCUGUUGUUAGGGAAGAACAAGUGCUAGUUGAAUAAGCUGGCACCUUGACGGUACCUAACCAGAAAGCCACGGCUAACUACGUGCCAGCCGCCGCCGUAA
rnacentral:rRNA from 1 species